rnacentral:rRNA from 1 species
UACGUAGGUGGCGAGCGUUGUCCGGAUUUACUGGGCGUAAAGAGCGCGCAGGCGGUCGUUCAAGUCGCGUGUGAAAGCCCCCCGGCUCAACUGGGGAGGGUCACGCGAUACUGAUCGACUGGAAGGCAGGAGAGGGUAGUGGAAUUCCCGGUGUAGUGGUGAAAUGCGUAGAUAUCGGGAGGAACACCAGUGGCGAAGGCGACUACCUGGCCUGUUCUUGACGCUGAGGCGCGAAAGCUAAGGGGAGCAAACGGGG